GAUGAAGAACGCAGUGAAAUGCGAUAAUUAAUGUGAAUUGCAGAAUUCAGUGAAUCAUCGAGUCUUUGAACGCACAUUGCUCCCCCUGGUAUUCCGGGGGGCAUGCCUGUCCGAGCGUCAUUGCUGCCCUCAAGCACGGCUUGUGUGUUGGGCUUCCGUCCCUGGCAACGGGGACGGGCCCAAAAGGCAGUGGCGGCACCAUGUCUGGUCCUCGAGCGUAUGGGGCUUUGUCACCCGCUCCCGUAGGUCCAGCUGGCAGCUAGCCUCGCAACCAAUCUUUUUAACCAGGUUGACCUCGGAUCAGGUAGGGAUACCCGCUGAACUUAAGCAUAUCAAUAAGCGGAGGA
rnacentral:misc_RNA from 1 species